rnacentral:piRNA from 1 species
UGAGCAAAUGAACUUAUUUGGCC